GACGAACGCUGGCGGCGCGCCUAACACAUGCAAGUCGAACGGAGUCACGAGGAGCUUGCUUUUCUUGACUUAGUGGCGAACGGGUGAGUAACGCGUGAGUAACCUGCCCUGGAGUGGGGGACAACAGUUGGAAACGACUGCUAAUACCGCAUAAGCUCACGGAUCUGCAUGGAUCUGCGGGAAAAGGAUUUAUUCGCUCUAGGAUGGACUCGCGUCCAAUUAGCUAGUUGGUGAGGUAACGGCCCACCAAGGCGACGAUUGGUAGCCGGACUGAGAGGUUGAACGGCCACAUUGGGACUGAGACACGGCCCAGACUCCUACGGGAGGCAGCAGUGGGGGAUAUUGCACAAUGGGGGAAACCCUGAUGCAGCGACGCCGCGUGGAGGAAGAAGGUUUUCGGAUUGUAAACUCCUGUCGUGAGGGACGAUAAUGACGGUACCUAACAAGAAAGCACCAGCUAACUACGUG
rnacentral:rRNA from 1 species